UUAAGUGAAUAAGGGCGCACGGUGGAUGCCUUGGCACUAGGAGCCGAUGAAGGACGGGACUAACACCGAUAUGCUUUGGGGAGCUGUAAGUAAGCUAUGAUCCAGAGAUUUCCGAAUGGGGAAACCCAGCAUCUUUUAUAGGAUGUUACGUCUGCGUGAAUACAUAGCGCAGUCGAGGUAGACGCAGAGAACUGAAACAUCUAAGUACCUGCAGGAAGAGAAAGAAAAUUCGAUUCCCUGAGUAGCGGCGAGCGAAACGGGAAAAGCCCAAACCAACAAGCUUGCUUGUUGGGGUUGUAGGACUCCGAUAUGGUAGUCUAUUCAGAUAGUCGAAAUACUUGGAAAAGUAUGUCAAAGAGGGUAAAAACCCCGUAGGCGAAAUUUGGAUAACACCUAGGAGGAUCCUGAGUACGGCGGAACACGAGGAAUUCCGUCGGAAUCCGGGAGGACCAUCUCCCAAGGCUAAAUACUCCCUAGUGACCGAUAGUGAACCAGUACCGUGAGGGAAAGGUGAAAAGCACCCCGGAAGGGGGAGUGAAAUAGAUCCUGAAACCGUGUGCCUACAACAAGUUAGAGGCCCGUUAAUGGGUGAUAGCGUGCCUUUUGUAGAAUGAACCGGCGAGUUACGAUAGCAUGCGAGGUUAAGUUGAAGAGACGGAGCCGCAGCGAAAGCGAGUCUGAAUAGGGCGAAUGAGUAUGUUGUCGUAGACCCGAAACCAUGUGAUCUACCCAUGUCCAGGUUGAAGGUGCGGUAAAACGCACUGGAGGACCGAACCCACGUACGUUGAAAAGUGCCGGGGAUGAGGUGUGGGUAGCGGAGAAAUUCCAAACGAACUUGGAGAUAGCUGGUUCUCUCCGAAAUAGCUUUAGGGCUAGCCUCGGAAUUGAGAAUGAUGGAGGUAGAGCACUGUUUGGACUAGGGGCCCAUCUCGGGUUACCGAAUUCAGAUAAACUCCGAAUGCCAUUCAUUCAUAUCCGGGGAGUCAGACUGUGAGUGAUAAGAUCCAUAGUCGAAAGGGAAACAGCCCAGACCACCAGCUAAGGUCCCCAAAUAACUAUUAAGUGGAAAAGGAUGUGGGGUUGCACAGACAACUAGGAUGUUGGCUUAGAAGCAGCCACCAUUUAAAGAGUGCGUAAUAGCUCACUAGUCGAGUGACCCUGCGCCGAAAAUGUACCGGGGCUAAAUAGUUUACCGAAGCUGUGGAGUGCACCAUUAGGUGCAUUGGUAGGAGAGCGUUCUAAGGGCGUUGAAGGCAGAUCGUGAGGACUGCUGGAGCGCUUAGAAGUGAGAAUGCCGGUAUGAGUAGCGAAAGACAGGUGAGAAUCCUGUCCACCGAAUGACUAAGGUUUCCUGGGGAAGGCUCGUCGCCCAGGGUUAGUCGGGACCUAAGCCGAGGCCGACAGGCGUAGGCGAUGGACAACAGGUUGAUAUUCCUGUACCCGUUGUUUUUGUUUGAGCAAUGGAGGGACGCAGGAGGCUAAGAAGUGCAGACUGAUGGAUAUGUCUGUUCAAGCAGUAAGUCUUGGUAGGAGUCAAAUGCUUCUACCUAUACGGACAAGCUGUGAUGAGGAGGGAAAUAAUAGUACCGAAGCUUCUGAUGUCACACUGCCAAGAAAAGCUUCUAGUGAGAAAACAAUGGCCCGUACCGCAAACCGACACAGGUAGUCGAGGAGAGAAUCCUAAGGUGAGCGAGAGAACUCUCGUUAAGGAACUCGGCAAAAUGACCCCGUAACUUCGGGAGAAGGGGUGCUGCUCUAACGAGCAGCCGCAGUGAAUAGGCCCAAGCGACUGUUUAUCAAAAACACAGGUCUCUGCAAAAUCGAAAGAUGACGUAUAGGGGCUGACGCCUGCCCGGUGCUGGAAGGUUAAGAGGAGUGCUUAGCGUAAGCGAAGGUACGAAUUGAAGCCCCAGUAAACGGCGGCCGUAACUAUAACGGUCCUAAGGUAGCGAAAUUCCUUGUCGGGUAAGUUCCGACCCGCACGAAAGGCGUAACGAUUUGGGCACUGUCUCAACGAGAGACUCGGUGAAAUUUUAGUACCUGUGAAGAUGCAGGUUACCCGCGACAGGACGGAAAGACCCCAUGGAGCUUUACUGUAGUUUGAUAUUGAGUGUCUGUACCGCAUGUACAGGAUAGGUAGGAGCCGUAGAGAUCGGGACGCCAGUUUCGAUGGAGGCAAUGGUGGGAUACUACCCUUGCGUUAUGGCCACUCUAACCCGCAGCCCUUAUCGGGCUGGGAGACAGUGUCAGAUGGGCAGUUUGACUGGGGCGGUCGCCUCCUAAAAGGUAACGGAGGCGCCCAAAGGUUCCCUCAGAAUGGUUGGAAAUCAUUCGAAGAGUGUAAAGGCAGAAGGGAGCUUGACUGCGAGAGCUACAACUCGAGCAGGGACGAAAGUCGGGCUUAGUGAUCCGGUGGUUCCGCAUGGAAGGGCCAUCGCUCAACGGAUAAAAGCUACCCUGGGGAUAACAGGCUUAUCUCCCCCAAGAGUCCACAUCGACGGGGAGGUUUGGCACCUCGAUGUCGGCUCGUCGCAUCCUGGGGCUGUAGUCGGUCCCAAGGGUUGGGCUGUUCGCCCAUUAAAGCGGCACGCGAGCUGGGUUCAGAACGUCGUGAGACAGUUCGGUCCCUAUCCGUCGCGGGCGUUGGAAAUUUGAGAGGAGCUGUCCUUAGUACGAGAGGACCGGGAUGGACUUACCGCUGGUGUACCAGUUGUCUCGCCAGAGGCAUCGCUGGGUAGCUAUGUAGGGAAGGGAUAAACGCUGAAAGCAUCUAAGUGUGAAGCCCACCUCAAGAUGAGAUUUCCCAUUUCUUUAAGAAAGUAAGAUCCCUGAGAGAUGAUCAGGUAGAUAGGUCAGAAGUGGAAGGCCAGUGAUGGUUGGAGCGGACUGAUACUAAUCGAUCGAGGACUUAACCAA
rnacentral:rRNA from 1 species